UGCCUGGGUGCCNCGGCCGCCGCGUGAGUCUGCUGCGCUCCACGAGGAAGAUGCUUGCCACUGUAUCCCGCGUGUNGGCAGGCACUGCGCAGAAGCCGGCAAGCCGGGUGCUGGUUGCUUCCCGUAAUUUUGCAAAUGAUGCUACAUUUGAGAUUAAGAAAUGUGACCUUCAUCGGCUAGAAGAGGGCCCUCCAGUCAGCACAGUGCUCACCAGAGAGGAUGGGCUCAAGUAUUACAGGAUGAUGCAGACUGUGCGCCAUAUGGAGCUAAAGGCGGAUCAGCUGUAUAAGCAGAAAAUCAUUCGUGGUUUCUGUCACUUGUGUGAUGGUCAGGAAGCCUGCUGCGUGGGCCUGGAGGCUGGCAUAAACCCCACGGACCACCUCAUCACCGCCUAUCGAGCACAUGGCUUCACCUUCACUCAGGGCCUGCCUGUGCGAGCAAUUCUUGCAGAGCUAACAGGANGAAGAGGAGGUUGUGCUAAAGGGAAAGGCAGGUCAAUGCACAUGUACGUCAAGAACUUCUAUGGAGGCAACGGCAUCGUUGGAGCUCAGGUNCCCCUGGGAGCAGGAAUUGCUCUGGCCUGCAAGUACAAUGGAAAAGAUGAGGUCUGUUUGACAUUAUACGGCGAUGGUGCUGCUAAUCAGGGUCAGAUCUUUGAAGCUUACAAUAUGGCAGCACUGUGGAAAUUACCUUGCAUUUUUAUCUGUGAGAACAACCGCUAUGGCAUGGGGAUGUCUGUUGAGAGAGCAGCAAAGAGUUCAGAAAACCAAACUUUCAAAUAA